rnacentral:rRNA from 1 species
CCUACGGGAGGCAGCAGUAAGGAAUAUUGGACAAUGGACGGAAGUCUGAUCCAGCCAUGCCGCGUGAAGGAAGAAGGCGCUCAGCGUUGUAAACUUCUUUUGAAUGGGAAUAAUAACCUCCACGGGUUGGGGGCUUGAGGGUACCAUUAGAAUAAGCACCGGCUAACUCCGUGCCAGCAGCCGCGGUAAU